rnacentral:rRNA from 1 species
AGAGUUUGAUCCUGGCUCAGGAUGAAUUCUGGCGGCGUGCCUAAUACAUGCAAGUCGAACGAAGCGAUUUGGGAAAUUUAUUUUUCAGAUUGACUGAGUGGCGAACGGGUGAGUAAGACAUAAGUAAUCUGCCGUAAAGACUGGGAUAACUUUGAGAAAUUAAAGCUAAGACCGGAUAGGAAUUAUUGAGGCAUCUUAAUAAUUUUAAAGGGGCUUAUGGCCUUGUUAUACGAUGAGCUUAUGGCGCAUUAGCUAGUUGGUAAGGUAAUGGCUUACCAAGGCGAUGAUGCGUAGCCGGCCUGAGAGGGUGACCGGCCACACUGGGACUGAGACACGGCCCAGACUCCUACGGGAGGCAGCAGUAGGGAAUUUUCGGCAAUGGGGGCAACCCUGACCGAGCGACGCCGCGUGAGUGAAGACGGUCUUCGGAUUGUAAAGCUCUGUUAUCAGGGAAGAAUAAGGUUAUCAGGAAAUGGAUAAUCGAUGACGGUACCUGAUCAGAAAGCCACGGCUAACUACGUGCCAGCAGCCGCGGUAAUACGUAGGUGGCGAGCGUUAUCCGGAAUUAUUGGGCGUAAAGGGUGCGUAGGCGGUUAUUUAAGUUUAAGGUUAAAGUUCAGGGCUCAACCCUGUGAUGCCUUAGAAACUGGAUAGCCAGAGUACAGGAGAGGUUAGUGGAAUUCCAUGUGUAGCGGUAAAAUGCGUAGAUAUAUGGAGGAACACCAGUGGCGAAGGCGGCUAACUGGCCUGUAACUGACGCUCAGGCACGAAAGCGUGGGGAACAAAUAGGAUUAGAUACCCUAGUAGUCC